GAAGGACGUUACGAGGUCUGGAANNNCACGGAACNGUCCAGACGGUCAUCGGCGCCUUGUGGAAGUGUGAGACGGGCGGUUCAUUGCUGUCCUCAGCUCGUGUCUUCAAAAUACUGGUCAAGUCACGCAACGAGCGCAACCGGUAUCCUUUGUUGCCAGCGGUCCGGCCGGGAACUCAAAGGAGACUGCCAGUGAUAAACUGGAUGAAUGUGGGGAUGACGUCAAGUCAUCAUGGCCCUUACGACCAGGGCUACACACGUGCUACAAUGGCGCAUACAAAGAGAAGCGACCUCGCGAGAGCAAGCGGACCUCAUAAAGUGCGUCGUAGUCCGGAUUGGAGUCUGCAACUCGACUCCAUGAAGUCGGAAUCGCUAGUAAUCGUAGAUCAGAAUGCUACGGUGAAUACGUUCCCGGGCCUUGUACACACCGCCCGUCACACCAUGGGAGUGGGUUGCAAAAGUAGUAGUGUAGCUUAGCCUCAGGGAAGGCCACCACCUUGAGUU
rnacentral:rRNA from 1 species